rnacentral:rRNA from 1 species
CACCGCGGUUAUACGAGAGGCCCAAGUUGAUGAAAAACGGCGUAAAGCGUGGUUAAGAAAAUAAGAUAAUAGGGCCGAAUGGCCUCAAAGCAGUUAUACGCACUCGAAGUCUCGAAGCACAAUCACGAAAGUAGCCCUAACCUGCCUCUGAUUCCACGAAAGCCAUAAAA